UACGGGGGGGCAAGCGUUGUUCGGAAUUACUGGGCGUAAAGGGCUCGUAGGCGGCCAACUAAGUCGGACGUGAAAUCCCUCGGCUUAACUGGGGAACUGCGUCCGAUACUGGAUGGCUUGAGUUCGGGAGAGGGAUGUGGAAUUCCAGGUGUAGCGGUGAAAUGCGUAGAUAUCUGGAGGAACACCGGUGGCGAAGGCGGCAUCCUGGACCGACACUGACGCUGAUGAGCGAAAGCCAGGGGAGCAAACGGG
rnacentral:rRNA from 1 species